UACGUGAGGGGCAAGCGUUGUCCGGAAUCAUUGGGCGUAAAGAGCGUGUAGGCGGCUCGGUAAGUCCGCUGUGAAAGUCCAGGGCUCAACCCUCGGAUGCCGGUGGAUACUGUCGGGCUUGAGUACGGAAGAGGCGAGUGGAAUUCCUGGUGUAGCGGUGAAAUGCGCAGAUAUCAGGAGGAACACCAAUUGCGAAGGCAGCUCGCUGGGACGUUACUGACGCUGAGACGCGAAAGCGUGGGGAGCAAACAGG
rnacentral:rRNA from 1 species